AGGGGAGAAAAGCUAUAUUUUUUGCCUUGGGAGCAGGAGGCCGCAGGUUCGAAUCCUGCCGCCCCGACCA
rnacentral:tRNA from 1 species